rnacentral:rRNA from 1 species
ACGCUGGCGGCGUGCCUAAUACAUGCAAGUAGAACGCUGAAGGAGGAGCUUGCUUCUCUGGAUGAGUUGCGAACGGGUGAGUAACGCGUAGGUAACCUGCCUGGUAGCGGGGGAUAACUAUUGGAAACGAUAGCUAAUACCGCAUAACAGUAGAUGUUGCAUGACAUUUGCUUAAAAGGUGCAAUUGCAUCACUACCAGAUGGACCUGCGUUGUAUUAGCUAGUUGGUGGGGUAACGGCUCACCAAGGCGACGAUACAUAGCCGACCUGAGAGGGUGAUCGGCCACACUGGGACUGAGGCACGGCCCAGACUCCUACGGGAGGCAGCAGUAGGGAAUCUUCGGCAAUGGACGGAAGUCUGACCGAGCAACGCCGCGUGAGUGAAGAAGGUUUUCGGAUCGUAAAGCUCUGUUGUAAGAGAAGAACGAGUGUGAGAGUGGAAAGUUCACACUGUGACGGUAUCUUACCAGAAAGGGACGGCUAACUACGUGCCAGCAGCCGCGGUAAUACGUAGGUCCCGAGCGUUGUCCGGAUUUAUUGGGCGUAAAGCGAGCGCAGGCGGUUAGAUAAGUCUGAAGUUAAAGGCUGUGGCUUAACCAUAGUACGCUUUGGAAACUGUUUAACUUGAGUGCAAGAGGGGAGAGUGGAAUUCCAUGUGUAGCGGUGAAAUGCGUAGAUAUAUGGAGGAACACCGGUGGCGAAAGCGGCUCUCUGGCUUGUAACUGACGCUGAGGCUCGAAAGCGUGGGGAGCAAACAGGAUUAGAUACCCUGGUAGUCCACGCCGUAAACGAUGAGUGCUAGGUGUUAGACCCCUUUCCGGGGUUUAGUGGCCGCAGCUAACGCAUUAAGCACUCCGCCUGGGGAGUACGACCGCAAGGUUGAAACUCAAAGGAAUUGACGGGGGCCCGCA